rnacentral:rRNA from 1 species
UACGGAGGGUGCUAGCGUUGUUCGGAAUUACUGGGCGUAAAGGGCGCGUAGGCGGCCGUUUGCGUCGGAUGUGAAAGCCCGGGGCUCAACCUCGGAACGGCAUUCGAUACGGGACGGCUGGAGACCGGGAGAGGAGAGUGGAAUAGCCAGUGUAGAGGUGAAAUUCGUAGAUAUUGGCUGGAACACCGGUGGCGAAAGCGGCUCUCUGGCCCGGUUCUGACGCUGAGGCGCGAAAGCGCGGGGAGCAAACAGG